GCCCAAGUGGGGUAGCAUGGACAUCCUGGGGGCCCGCGGAGCUUCCGAUUCGGGUUCAAAUCCCGGCUUGGGCG
rnacentral:tRNA from 1 species